ACAAAAAAUAGCUUAUAAGGUGCUCUUUCAUAGAGUUAAAAGGGAAAGUGGUGUAAAUCCACUACAGCCCCCGCUACUGUAAAUGGGUAUGAAAUCCGCGAAUGCCAUUGGGAAACCGAGAAGGUCGGAGAGUAAGAUGAUCCAUAAGUCAGGAAACCUGCCUUAUAUUGUUAUAAAAC
rnacentral:ncRNA from 2 species